AAGCCGAGCGGUAGGGUUUCUUCGGAAACCUGAGAGCGGCGCACGGGUGCGGAACACGUGUGCAACCUACCUUUAUCAGGGGGAUAGCCUUUCGAAAGGAAGAUUAAUACCCCAUAAUAUAUUUUACGGCAUCGUAAGAUAUUGAAAACUCCGGUGGAUAGAGAUGGGCACGCGCAAGAUUAGAUAGUUGGUGAGGUAACGGCUCACCAAGUCAAUGAUCUUUAGGGGGCCUGAGAGGGUGAUCCCCCACACUGGUACUGAGACACGGACCAGACUCCUACGGGAGGCAGCAGUGAGGAAUAUUGGACAAUGGGUGAGAGCCUGAUCCAGCCAUCCCGCGUGAAGGACUAAGGCCCUAUGGGUUGUAAACUUCUUUUAUACUGGGAUAAACCUACUUACGUGUAAGUAGCUGAAGGUACAGUAUGAAUAAGCACCGGCUAACUCCGUGCC
rnacentral:rRNA from 1 species